rnacentral:rRNA from 1 species
UAGGGAAUCUUCGGCAAUGGACGAAAGUCUGACCGAGCAACGCCGCGUGAGUGAAGAAGGUUUUCGGAUCGUAAAACUCUGUUGUUAGAGAAGAACAAGAAUGAGAGUAACUGUUCAUCCCUUGACGGUAUCCAACCAGAAAGCCACGGCUAACUACGUGCCAGCAGCCGCGGUAAUACGUAGGUGGCAAGCGUUGUCCGGAUUUAUUGGGCGUAAAGCGAGCGCAGGCGGUUUCUUAAGUCUGAUGUGAAAGCCCCCGGCUCAACCGGGGAGGGUCGUUGGAAACUGGGAGACUUGAGUGCAGAAGAGGAGAGUGGAAUUCCAUGUGUAGCGGUGAAAUGCGUAGAUAUAUGGAGGAACACCAGUGGCGAAGGCGGCUCUCUGGUCUGUAACUGACGCUGAGGCUCGAAAGCGUGGGGAGCAAACAGG